AAGAGAGGAGCUUGCUCUUCUUGGAAGAGUUGCGAACGGGUGAGUAACGCGUAGGUAACCUGCCUUGUAGCGGGGGAUAACUAUUGGAAACGAUUGCUAAUACCGCAUAACAAUGGGUGACCCAUGUCAUUCAUUUGAAAGGGGCAACUGCUCCACUACAAGAUGGACCUGCGCUGUAUUAGCUAGUAGGUGAGGUAACGGCUCACCUAGGCGACGAUACAUAGCCGACCUGAGAGGGUGAUCGGCCACACUGGGACUGAGACACGGCCCAGACUCCUACGGGAGGCAGCAGUAGGGAAUCUUCGGCAAUGGGGGCAACCCUGACCGAGCAACGCCGCGUGAGUGAAGAAGGUUUUCGGAUCGUAAAGCUCUGUUGUAAGUCAAGAACGAGUGUGAGAGUGGAAAGUUCACACUGUGACGGUAGCUUACCAGAAAGGGACGGCUAACUACGUGCCAGCAGCCGCGGUAAUACGUAGGUCCCGAGCGUUGUCCGGAUUUAUUGGGCGUAAAGCGAGCGCAGGCGGUUUGAUAAGUCUGAAGUUAAAGGCUGUGGCUCAACCAUAGUUCGCUUUGGAAACUGUCAAACUUGAGUGCAGAAGGGGAGAGUGGAAUUCCAUGUGUAGCGGUGAAAUGCGUAGAUAUAUGGAGGAACACCGGUGGCGAAAGCGGCUC
rnacentral:rRNA from 1 species